GCAGAGAUGUCUGAGUGGUUUAAGGAGCACGAUUGGAAAUCGUGUGUGCGCCUGAAACGUACCGGAGGUUCGAAUCCUCUUCUCUGCGCCA
rnacentral:tRNA from 2 species